ensembl:lncRNA
GUUUGCUGGCCCUGUCCCUGUUCUACUUUUGAGGAUUCCUGAGGGUAGGUGCAGGCCCUCCAUGAUACCACCAUGGUCCUGCGUGAGGAGAAAGGAAAUACACUUUGGAUGACUUGCACCAAGUGCUUUCCUGCUAUCAGCAAGUCCCUCUCUGUGCAGACAGUUUGCUUUGACCAAGGUGGCUGUAGCAGCUACUGCUACAUCAGAGAUGAACCCACCUUGGCAGAGCAAGAAAUGGGAGAACCUUCUGCUUCGGCAUCAGUUCCCAGGAGAGACCUGGACCUUGGGAGGUGCUGCAGGGGGAGUUAUGACGCCCAGCAUCCCUGUGAUAGGCAUGGCAUGGAAAAAUGGUCCAUCUCUGAGCUGCGGUGCAAAGAGCAUGGAAAGUACCUUUGCUUUGUCCCAGAGCUUCAGUAACUGCAAAAACUAAGGAAGAAACCAAUGCAAAGGGAGAUGUUGCAGCGUGAAUUUGUCAGAUACAAACUCAGUAAAUCAAGAGGUAGGAAAAAACUGCCAAUCAUUCAGCUGCUUUUGCACUUGCAUUAUGGAAUCAACAAGCUCUUCCCUUCCAGCUGGGCUGUCAUCAGAUAAGUAGAAAAAAAUAGGCAUCAGAAAUACAUCCUGAGGGCAAUGAGGAAAUGUAGGCUGGAGAUAAGAAGCCCCCAGGACAGGCAGUAUAGCCGCCUUGGCUGCUGGCACAGAGGUAUGCCACCUCCAGCAUUGCAGAUAAGGCAUAGGCAUGGCCAUAGAUUGAUGUCACAGCACACUUGGCUUAAGUACAGGAUGACCAUCCCUUUGCAUGUUGUCUGGGACACAAGGCUUUGCCAGACCUUAUUCUGCAGAGAGAGAAUUUUGCUUAGUCUUGAUGGAGCCAUUAAAUAAUGAACUGGCAAGCCUUCAAAGAAGAGGCAUUUAUGCACCCAUAAAAACUAACAUAGAAUGGAUCAGCAGCCACAUAAAGGAAAGAAAAGCCUUCAGAAAAAGUAAAAGAACAGCUUAUCUACUUAUGGAAACACGUUUAGCUGAAUAUUGAAAAGAAAUUUCUCACCACUGUCUGUGCUUUGGGACAAGCCAGCUCAUCUACCUGGAGCACAAGUAACCCACAGCUGGGAGAUCCAGGCAGAUGCUGGCAUCCAAAGCCAGAUGGGAGCAAUGUGAACAGCUUGGGGAGAGGCUCUCAAAAAAAGAAAUGAGAGCCAAUUCUACCUCAGGACAGAGCAGGACAGAACCCUUUGUAUAUCUGUAAGGGCUUGUAUAAACCGCUGGGAAUUUCUCUCUCCAUUUGAGUAGAGAGCGGAUGCUGUCUUUGGGCCUCCCAAGUUCAUAGGCUUCCCUGAGCUCAGAUAAAGGCACGGCUUAUUCAGAGAAGGCGUAGAGGUUGUGAUGCUGGGGCACAGCAUUUGAUCAAGCAUCAGACCUGUUGAAAGCACCAGACCCGAGUGCAGCACCAGCCCAUGAAACCACUCUGCUGGGGACCAAGGAGUCUAAUGGGGGUCAAAGAGUUUGGAGAGAGGAAGCAGGGCUGGGAAGAAGAAAGGAGCAGCCUGGGCUGAGAGGCCCUCAGAGUACAGCAUGAUGGGAGAGUUUUUAGUUCAGUAUACAUUGGAAGUGUUUUCUCACAUCUGAUCCAACCCGAGUGACCCCGUAGGUAGCUGGCAUCUUCAGUAGGAUCAGACCAUAAUGGAUUUUAAAGAGAAAAGAGCUGCAGCCAGGUUUCAGAAGCAUGGGUUGACAAAGCACUUGCACCUGCAGUCGGCUUAUUUCACAUGCAGUCCCCGUAAGCGCAUAAGCAGAUUAAAUGCAGACAUUGGUGUACUCUUGGCUCAGGCACUCCAGGUGAAUGGUCGGCAUUUCUUUAAAGACACUGCAACACACUGUAAGCGUAGAGCCUUGCUUUCAUUGCGGCCUCAACCACACCUUUAUCCUAGAGUUUAUUUCACUGCUUGACUGACAACUAACCCAGUCCUUGUGGCAGAGGCACCAGGAGCUGUAAAUGGCUGUGCCAAUCACUGUGACCUUGCUCCAUUACUCCUCAUUUGCACAGCCCUUCCUGACACAGUUGUGAUAUUACCAGACUGCACCCUCACAUCUCAGUUUGCAUUGUGAGCGUGCCAAGAGGUUUUUCAGUGCUGUGCUUUAAUCAUGUUGUAUCCUUUGGCAUUAGUGGAAACAUGGCUCUGAAACCUUGACCCAGUGUUCAUCGUGAUUAAAGUACCACCUUACCGCGAUUCUGCUAAAAUAUACGAACAUUCUGAACUGGGACAAAUGUUGGAUAUCUGAUUUCUGGGAAGCAGAUCAGAGUGCCUAUGUUGUAUCAGAUACUGUUCAUCCUUUGUGCUUUCUUAUUCUGUUUGCUCUUCCCAGUGCGCGUUCCCUACUGCACCAAUGCAAUGAUGCUAGUUAAAAUUGUCUCAUCAUUUGUCUAUUGAAUUAAAAGAUCAUCAGGGCAUUAAAAUGUUAUUUAGUAGCUGCUGUUUACACAGAUUGGUCAUUAAAGAUUCCAAGCUCCAUUUAGCUUCAAGCUUACAAAGCAACUCAUUAUGCUAUGACCGUAAGGUCCCCACUCAGCAAAGCAACAAGCACAUCCCAUUAUGUCCCAUUAUAUUCAGUGAGUUUUAGGUUCAUCUUUUUGCAUAUUGCCUUUUUUUUUUUUAAUUGGUCAUUUCAGCUGUUUCUAAUGGUUACUUCAGAUUACUUUUUUUUUUUUUUUUAAUGGCACAAUAUAUCCUCUGAAAAUCAUCAAAGUCAGAGCAGUGGGGGCUGUUCAAGAAACCAACGCCCAUCCAGUCAUGCCAUGAAUAAAACAGUGUUUAUAGAUACAAGCUCUGUACGUGCAUAAAACCCACAGGCUGUGUAUUGCUGUUUGAUAGAAGGCAAUGACUGCGAAACACCACGACCGAUGUUGACUCAUUACCUUUUGGUAAGAUUGAAAAACUUAAACCAAGUCACAGAACACCUGCAUUGCUCAUUUAUUAUGUUAUCCAAUCGAGCUUUUUUUGUGUUGGUCUCUUUGUUUCACUCUCUUUGCUGAUGCUAUCGUAGAUUAAUUGGCACCACAGCAAAUGUUCACAGCUGUCUGCAAGAUGUUGGUGAAUGCAUCAUGUCAGUCAUGCAUGCUAUCACCAAGGAGAUGAAUUUCUAUCAUUCUCCAGCAAGAUAGUUCUGUAAAUGACCUAACAAAAUAAAGUCUUUC